AGUGAACGCUGGCGGUAGGCCUAACACAUGCAAGUCGAACGGCAGCACAGGAGAGCUUACUCUCUGGGUGGCGAGUGGCGGACGGGUGAGGAAUACAUCGGAAUCUGCCCAGUCGUGGGGGAUAACGUAGGGAAACUUACGCUAAUACCGCAUACGACCUUCGGGUGAAAGAGGGGGAUCGCAAGACCUCUCGCGAUUGGAUGAGCCGAUGUCGGAUUAGCUAGUUGGCGGGGUAAUGGCCCACCAAGGCGACGAUCCGUAGCUGGUCUGAGAGGAUGAUCAGCCACACUGGAACUGAGACACGGUCCAGACUCCUACGGGAGGCAGCAGUGGGGAAUAUUGGACAAUGGGCGCAAGCCUGAUCCAGCCAUACCGCGUGGGUGAAGAAGGCCUUCGGGUUGUAAAGCCCUUUUGUUGGGAAAGAAAUCUUUCAGGCUAAUACCCUGGGAGGAUGACGGUACCCAAAGAAUAAGCACCGGCUAACUUCGUG
rnacentral:rRNA from 1 species